CUCACCCGAUAGGUUCUGUUUUUGCCCCGCGUCCUUCUUGAGUUCUUCCUUCGCUUCAUAAAAGCCCAGUGUCUCAGCUAAAUGGACGCCGCGAUCAAAACCCCGUCCAUCACAUUCACGGUUAUCUCCACUUUCCGGCACCGCCGCCAUCUUCUGACGGGAGGAGGAGACAAAAACACAAACACCGCCGUCAUGUGACUGUCUGGAGCAGGGGCGAGCGCGCAUGUGCGGACAUUCUGGCCCCGCCCCAUGAAACUGAAUCCCAGGAAAGGAAGAUGCAGGAGCAGAGAUGAUCAGAUGCUGCCAGACCUGCAGAGUGUUUCAGCAAUUUCUGUUUUUAUUUCUGAAGUAAAUACUCCAAUAAGAAAGAAAACUUUCCUAGGGGCAGCUGAGGGCUGCAGCAGAGUGGGCAGGAGGCAUGGAGCAGAGUUGAGCGCCUGAGGACCAGAGCAGAGUGAGGACAGUUGUUGGCUGGGGACCGAUGUGAGUGGUCAGUGGCUUGCAAAUCCGGUCAGACACAUGUAGACGCCCCUUGCGCUGAUCUCCAGCAAUGAAAUGUUUAUCUGUAAUCUUUUAAUCUGACUGCAAUGUUUAUCCUUUCAACUUUAUUUCUUAUUUUGUAAC